AGGCUCGAGCGCUUCAGCGUGAGGCUCUUUAUGUUGCCUACUUUACAGGAAAGAGGCCCAACGUAACUUGAUGAGUGCACCCGCAGAAAUUAAACUAACCCUUAAGUGCUUUACUGGAACAAACCCGUGGAUGGCUAACUUCUCCUGUGCUGUAUCAGAUCUGUUCAGUGUAGCUCCAGUAGCCAGUGAGCACUACUGUUUUACAGAUCUCAGGGAUUGUUCUACUGACAAGAUCUGCCAGGCAAGCUUGGAAUCUGGAAGUUCACAUUACUUAGCUAUUGUUCAGGAAGGGGCAUCACUUCCCAUCAGUCUAAACUGAUUGUAGAAGAGAGAUUGGCAACUUAGCAGUGAAUUCCAAGAAGUUGUAACUUGCCAAUGUUAGGUCAUUAAAUUAUUGCUCUUGACUUGUGAAAGGUGAACUAAGACUUUUCUGACUGCACUUGUUGACAUGUGGGUAAUUGUGAAGAGUUUCUAUGUUCCAUCUGAAUUUCUUCUUUCACCUUUAACGAAGAUACUUGAAAAUUGUUUAAUUUGUUUCCUCUUUUUCAUUGAGGGGGUUAAAGUAAUCUAGUUGCUGAUGUAAUGUUUUUUAUAGUGGAAAAAGUAGUGGUGAAGGCAAGAAAUCAGUCUCAAAGCAUUUGUUUCAGCUGCAACCUGUAGAUCUUGGGAGACUGCUUUUGGAGGCUGUUGUAAAAUCCUCUUCAUUUGUAUUGUUAAUAAACAUGAUAUGCUGCCCUUGAUUUAAA